GACCCAUUAGCUCAGUUGGUAGAGCACCGGACUUUUAAUCCGGGUGUCCUGCGUUCGAGUCGCAGAUGGGUCACCA
rnacentral:tRNA from 1 species